rnacentral:piRNA from 1 species
UAUAGGCUGCGAAGUAUGGUUAGA